UACAGAGGGUGCAAGCGUUGUUCGGAAUUAUUGGGCGUAAAGCGCGUGUAGGCGGCUUUGCAAGUCGGGUGUGAAAGCCCUCAGCUUAACUGAAGAAGUGCGCCCGAAACUGCAGAGCUUGAGUACCGGAGAGGAUGGCGGAAUUCCCCAAAUAGAGGUGAAAUUCGUAGAUAUGGGGAGGAACACCGGUGGCGAAGGCGGCCAUCUGGACGGAUACUGACGCUGAGGAGCGAAAGCGUGGGGAGCAAACAGGG
rnacentral:rRNA from 1 species